rnacentral:rRNA from 1 species
UAGCGUUGCUCGGAAUUACUGGGCGUAAAGGGCGCGUAGGCGGGCUGUCAAGUCUGGUGUGAAAUGCUGCGGCUCAACCGUAGAACUGCCUUAGAUACUGACGGCCUCGAGGAAGGUAGGGGCAUGCGGAACUGUAGGUGGAGCGGUGAAAUGCGUUGAUAUCUACAGGAACUCCGGUGGCGAAAGCGGCGUGCUGGACCUUUUCUGACGCUGAGGCGCGAAAGCUAGGGGAGCAAACGGG